AGCCCGACGUGGGGCUCGAACUCAUGAACCAUGAGAUCGUGACCUGAGCUGAAGUUGGACGCUUCACCGACGGAGCCCCCCAGGCGCCCCCUGGGUUUCCUCUUCUUUGAAACCCACUGGGGACGAGAGGGGCCUCUGACAUCCCUGGGUUCUGAGGAAGGAAUCCUUGGGUCCCUCCACGUCCACUUUGCUCCCAGACCUGGUCUCUCAUGCCCACUUCUCGUGGGAGGAUUGAAUGUGUCUCCCAGGGCUUAGGCAGAGCUCCACCAGCUGACCGGGUGUCCUCAGAGCUGGGGGUCCUGCUCCUUCGGAGCGGAUGCAAAUGAAGACGAAGGUUCUGGCACCCUUGAGUCUCUCCACACGAAAAUCUUCUGAAAUGUUUUCUGAACAGUUAUUGAAGACAGCCACGCACUCUCAAAACAAAGACUCGACAUGUCAAAUGGACUUCUUUUUUUUUAAAUCACAAUUAGGUAGUCGAAAGGCGGUAUCUUAGAAUAAGGCCCGCUUCUGCUCCCGCACACCUCAUGGCGAUGCGGGGAGGCACCUGGGGUGGGGGCGCACAUCCCACUCCAGGGCCCGGCCCUCGGCCCGCUGGUGCCAGACCGCCCCUCAUCUGAUCAGCUGCGCUGCCCCUACAUGGAGCCCCUGGGUCAGGCCAAUCGUGUCCUUCAGGGUCACAGGAGGAAACAGAUGACUCUUGGAAUCGAGUAAUGGGGGAUGUUUUCAUAAAGGGCUACUUCCAAGGCGUAGGCAGGCUGGAGAGGCUCCCAGCGGGGGGGGGGGGGGGUCCAGCAACAGUGGGGAGCUGUCACCUGCCCUCUCCCCCCGGGGACAUGGGAAGGAGCAGCCACAGCCUCCAGCUGGAGGGAGGGAGGUGCCAAGGGUCUGGGGCCUUUGCUAAAGGAACGCAGCCUGUACCAUUGUCCCUUGUGGCCCAGUGGGGACCAAGUGGCAGGACAGAUACCCCGACCUCACUCUCUUUCCUGCCUCCCGGACUCCUGCCGGUGCCUCCCACUGGCCAGAUUCAACCAGAAUCAGAGGGAAAACGGGCCACUGGCAGACAGCAGGUGGAGACAGGGCACCAGGAUGGGCAAACGGAUUUGCCUCACAGGAACUGAACACUCAAGAGAUCCUCACGGGAGACAGACACUAACAUACAUUCGCACGAGGAACGUCUGCAGAGCAACCCAAGCCAUCUUCUUCUCUUCCUUGGAAAACAAGGACACAUCGGUUUGGGGGCCAGUUUGGACUUCCAGAAAGGAGAACGGAUAACCUUGGGACAUGUGCAAAAGCCCACCAAACUCUCAGGCCCCCAGGAAUGAGAGCACCUGUCCUGCCCCAAAGAGCUCACGUCUGCCGGGCAGGUGCACACUUGUCUUUCUCACAGACGGUGUUGGGUAAACUGAGACUCCUCAGCAGCCCUGAGACUUUGGUGACCAAAGAGUGUUACACAGUGUCCUCAGCGGCCACCCACCCAGGCUCAACUCCCUUUGGUUCCCAGAUGAGCCAGGGUCCAUGGACGCUUCUCACCACUUCUGCUGGACUUGGGUUUUCCAGUAUCUCGCAGACAAGACCCUCCUGUUAUUGAGCAUCUUUCCUGUACCAGGCAGGGACGGUGACCGCUGGAAUCAAGCAGUUGACAGUAAUACAUAAAUAUCUGUAAUAAAUGAAGUGAUCCAA